rnacentral:SRP_RNA from 1 species
ACUGGGUGCGGUGGCACAUACCUGUAGUCCCAGCUACUCGGGGGGCUGAGGCUAGAGGAUUGCUUGAGUCCAGGAGUUCUGGGCUGUAGCAUGCUAUGCUGAUGAGGUGUCUGUACUAAGUUCAGCAUCAAUAUGGUGACCUCUCGGUAGUGGGGGACCACCAGGUUGCCUAAGGCAGGGCGAACCAGCCCAGGUCGGAAACGGAGCAGGUCAGAACUCCAGUGCUGAUCAGUAGUGGGAUUGCACUUGUGAAUACCCACUGUACUCCAGCCUGGGCAACAUAGCCAGAUCCUGUCUCU